rnacentral:rRNA from 1 species
AGCUCUACCUUAGUUUUUUUGUUAAACUGAACAAGACCUCAGACUUAAGAGCUAUUCGAAUAAGGCACAGCUUAUUUGAAACAGGACACAACCUACGACAUAGGGUAACCAAGAAUGACUUAAAUAAAGUGGGCCUAAAAGCAGCCAUCUUUAAAAAAGCGUUAAAGCUUAACUACCCCUCACUCACAAUACCUAAAGCCCUCACUAACCCCUCAUCACUAUUGAACAGCUUUAUACUCAUAUAAAAGCUAUUAUGCUAGAACUAGUAACAAGAAACUGCCUUUCUCCUAAAUGUAAGUAUAUACCAAAAUAAACUCUGUUGGUUAUUAACGUAAAUGCUAAACUAUAGUAACACCCACUAGAAAACCCUAUAACUCCUAACGUUAACCUUACACCAGAACAUUCCAGGAAAGAUUAAAAGAAAAAGAAGGAACUCGGCAAAUCAUAGCCUCGCCUGUUUACCAAAAACAUCGCCUCUUGCAAAACAUAAGAGGUCCAGCCUGCCCAGUGACAAAGUUCAACGGCCGCGGUACCCUAACCGUGCGAAGGUAGCAUAAUCACUUGUUCUUUAAAUGAGGACUCGUAUCAACGGCACUACGAGGGCUAUACUGUCUCCUUUUUCCAAUCAGUGAAACUGAUCUCCCCGUGAAGAAGCGGGGAUCAAAAUAUAAGACGAGAAGACCCCAUGGAGCUUUAAACUCUCUGUACACUUCUGUGUUCCUACAUCAUUAGACAUAAGAAAUCUGCACACUAGUUUUAGGUUGGGGGGACCACGGAGUACAAUUUAACCUCCAUAACAAAUGGGCUAAUUACCCUUAUCCACGAGACACACCUCUAAGAAUUACUAAACUAAUGCUUAUGACCCGAUAUUCGAUCAAUGAACCAAGUUACCCUGGGGAUAACAGCGCAAUCUACUUCAAGAGCUCAUAUCGACAAGUAGGUUUACGACCUCGAUGUUGGAUCACGGUAUCCCGUGGGUGCAGCCGCUACUAAUGGUUCGUUUGUUCAACGAUUAAAACCCUACGUGAUCUG